UAAAACCCAAAAGCUCUCACCUCUUUCUGCUUUCUCUCUCUCCAAUUCCUCCAUUGAAAAAGGAAGAAAACAUGAAGAAGAAGGUCAAUUUCUCUAGGAUUUCACUUCAAUUUCCUUGAUUAAGCUUCAAUAAGGUGGUGAUGGCUAGAGGAAGUCUUCUAGGUGAAGAUCUUGGAUAGAACUUCUAAGUUCCAGAAGAGGGAUCCUUAUGAUUCAUGGAUUUCCCUAUGUGAAGUUCCUAUAAUAUAAUGUAAUAGCUUAGAAUUAUAUAUUAUGUUGUGAAGGAUCAUGUCCCUAUUCUAUUAUAUUAUAUUGAAUUGUGUCUUAAGAUGGAAAAGAGACAUUACAGUCUAACUAUGUAUUAUUAUAUUAUAUACAUAUAUAAUGUAAUGUUAUAGCAUAGGAUGUGGUAUGAAAAGUUUAAAUUUUUUUUCUA